UUAACUAUGUUGAUGGAGAUAAGGUGUAGGCAGAGGAAUCUGAAGAGAGCUGAUGGGUGGUGGAAAUCAGCGGUUCCGGCUUAUGGCAGCACUCCUGAAUAGAUGGAUUGAACUUGAGUAGGUCCAUCCGGCCUGUGCCCGUUACGCAUUCGAACCAAUGAGGCUGCCUUUAAAAAAGGCAGUGAAUUAGGGUGGUACCGCGAACCGAAAGGCUCUUCGCCCCUUGC
rnacentral:ncRNA from 2 species